CCUACGGGAGGCAGCAGUGGGGAAUUUUGGACAAUGGGCGAAAGCCUGAUCCAGCAAUGCCGCGUGAGUGAAGAAGGCCUUCGGGUUGUAAAGCUCUUUUGUCAGGGAAGAAACGGUGUGGGCUAAUAUCCCGCACUAAUGACGGUACCUGAAGAAUAAGCACCGGCUAACUACGUGCCAGCAGCCGCGGUAAUACGUAGGGUGCAAGCGUUAAUCGGAAUUACUGGGCGUAAAGCGUGCGCAGGCGGUUUUGUAAGUUUGUCGUGAAAGCCCCGGGCUCAACCUGGGAAUUGCGAUGAAGACUGCAAGGCUUGAAUCUGGCAGAGGGGGGUAGAAUUCCACGUGUAGCAGUGAAAUGCGUAGAGAUGUGGAGGAACACCGAUGGCGAAGGCAGCCCCCUGGGUCAAGAUUGACGCUCAUGCACGAAGGCGUGGGGAGCAAACAGGAUUAGAUACCCUGGUAGUCCACGCCCUAAACGAUGUCUACUAGUUGUCGGGUUUUAAUAACUUGGUAACGCAGCUAACGCGUGAGUAGACCGCCUGGGGAAGUCGGUGCAAGAAUUAAAACGUCAAAUUGAAAUUGAGGCUUGGNGACGNGCGACGGACGACGACGAGGGAGGAGG
rnacentral:rRNA from 1 species